rnacentral:rRNA from 1 species
ACCCAGACUCCUACGGGAGGCAGCAGUGGGGAAUAUUGCACAAUGGGGGGAACCCUGAUGCAGCGACGCCGCGUGGGUGAAGGAGCACCUCGGUGCGUAAAGCCCUACCGGCAGGGAAGAAACAGACGGUACCUGACUAAGAAGCCCCGGCUAACUACGUGCCAGCAGCCGCGGUAAUACGUAGGGGGCAAGCGUUAUCCGGAUUCACUGGGUGUAAAGGGAGCGUAGACGGCGACGCAAGUCUGGAGUGAAAGCCCGGGGCCCAACCCCGGGACUGCUCUGGAAACUGCGGCGCUGGAGUACGGGAGGGGCAGGCGGAAUUCCUGGUGUAGCGGUGAAAUGCGUAGAUAUCACACAGAACACCGAUUGCGAAGGCAUCUGACGAAUCGGAGAUUGACGCUGAUGCACGAAAGCGUGGGUAUCGAACAGGAUUAGAUACCCCAGUACCA